UACGUAGGGUGCAAGCGUUGUCCGGAAUUAUUGGGCGUAAAGAGCUCGUAGGCGGUCUGUCGCGUCUGCUGUGAAAACUCAGGGCUUAACCCUGAGCUUGCAGUGGGUACGGGCAGACUAGAGUGCGGUAGGGGAGACUGGAAUUCCUGGUGUAGCGGUGAAAUGCGCAGAUAUCAGGAGGAACACCGGUGGCGAAGGCGGGGUCUCUGGGCCGUAACUGACGCUGAGGAGCGAAA
rnacentral:rRNA from 1 species